rnacentral:lncRNA from 1 species
UUCCAGUCUCCUACUGAACUGUCACGGCAGACCUCUCUGUAUCUAUAUUUAGAGAUGUAUGUCCAUAUAUUUGCCUGAAUGUGUGAGUUCUUGGAAGUAUGGAUUCGUUGCCAGGAGCUGGUGAUUUCCUAUGCAGAGGUCGCUCACUACAAGAAAUGUUACACUCGGUGAGUAGGUGGUAGCUUCUGAAGAUUAUUGGUAACCCAGUGUUGGUCGUCUUGAGUCAUGGAUUUAAAUGAUGGCUAGCAAGCUCUUAAAUACCUUCUGCUUUAUAUGAUACAGAGCAUGGAACUGUAGGACGCACAGACGGCUGUGAAGGGUUUUUAAGAAUAUGGAUUCAUUGAAUAAUCAGUGAAUCUUGUGAAUAUACUACACCUUUGGAGGAGGAAAGGGUGUUUUACGAAGGAAGUGGUUUGUUGGGGCUUUUAAAGGUGCAAGUCUUCCGAACAAAUGCCUCCUGAGGAUUUGUGUGCCUGGAAAAUAUCUGUGAACAGAUUGCUUUUACACCUACGACCAAAGCUGGCUUUCAUGGUUUACUCAUGUACUUACUGAUGAAACCCUGAAACCUGGAGCCAGUGACUGUUCAGAGGUCCCUGUGAAGAUGCGCUGAAGGGUGUAAAGGACGGAGCAGUAAAGAGUGCUGGCUGAAUCCCUGGGCUGGGAAUCAGGCAUGUUGGAGUUUGAGUCCUGGUCUGCCACUCCAGCUCUGUGACCAAGAGGAAGUCAUGUACCCUUUCUAAGUCUCUAGCCCAUCUUCUGAAAGACGCUACCACC